UUUUUCCCUGCGAAUGAUUUUUAGCGAGUAGCGAAUAAUUCGCCACGAAUAGUUACCUCAAUAAAGUUAGCCGGACAAUUUCAACUUUAAACAUUUUUGUUUAUAUGAAUCGUUUGUUAGUGGUUUGUUGUUGAUUGUUAGAUUAAUUAAAACAUUUGUUAGACAAUAUUUUCUAUGUAAAUACGAAAACAAUUUUUAAUGUCAAGAUAGCCGGUAAAUUACAAUUUUUGUUUCAAAAUAGGUUUAAUCGAUGCGGAAUCGUUUGUUGUUUCCGAAUAAACUAAUUAAAACGUUUGUUUCAUAAUGAAAAAAGAUCAUGUGCAUGGUAAAUGGAAUGCAAGUUCACAUUCGGUGUUGUAUUUCUCAAAUUUCUCAAUGCAAAAAUAUGGGCGUAAACGGCGGCCUGGCCGCUCUCAGGUUCCUCUCUGGUUCGGCAAAAAGUACAAGAAGGAAUUAAGCUUUUAAUGGACAACAGCGAGUGCGCUGCAACGAGGGAGGUAUCCGCAGAAAAGAAAGCGAUUUUCGAGUUUCUACUCUAUCAAUUGGGAGCCAUGUCUCUUGAUAGUUCCCCGUUGCAAUGGUGGCUUCGAACGUCCACGAAGUGCCCGAACUUGACGAAGUUGGCGAACAAAUAUUCCUGCGUGCCCGCGUGUUGCGCACCGCCAACACGAAUUCCGCAAAUGCAAUACUAUACGAGGCGAGCGGCAUUACCUCAUCAUUUGAUUGACAAAUUACUCUUCUUGCACGGCAAUUAUACAUAAAAUUAAUAUUUUUAUUUAGUAUACCUAUACUGUAAUACAAAGCAAAUAUACAUAUACAUGAUA
rnacentral:misc_RNA from 1 species